rnacentral:rRNA from 1 species
UACGAGAGGCCCAAACGUUAUUCGGAUUUACUGGGCUUAAAGAGUUCGUAGGCGGUCUUGUAAGUGGGGUGUGAAAUCCCUCGGCUCAACCGAGGAACUGCGCUCCAAACUACAAGACUUGAGGGGGAUAGAGGUAAGCGGAACUGAUGGUGGAGCGGUGAAAUGCGUUGAUAUCAUCAGGAACACCGGAAGCGAAGGCGGCUUACUGGGUCCUUUCUGACGCUGAGGAACGAAAGCUAGGGGAGCAAACGGG